GACGAACGCUGGCGGCGUGCUUAACACAUGCAAGUCGAACGGAAAGGCCCUGCUUUUGUGGGGUGCUCGAGUGGCGAACGGGUGAGUAACACGUGAGUAACCUGCCCUUGACUUUGGGAUAACUUCAGGAAACUGGGGCUAAUACCGGAUAGGAGCUCCUGCUGCAUGGUGGGGGUUGGAAAGUUUCGGCGGUUGGGGAUGGUCUCGCGGCUUAUCAGCUUGUUGGGGGGGUAGUGGCUUACCAAGGCUUUGACGGGUAGCCGGCCUGAGAGGGUGACCGGCCACAUUGGGACUGAGAUACGGCCCAGACUCCUACGGGAGGCGGCAGUGGGGAAUAUUGCACAAUGGGCGGAAGCCUGAUGCAGCAACGCCGCGUGCGGGAUGACGGCCUUCGGGUUGUAAACCGCUUUCGCCUGUGACGAAGCGUGAGUGACGGUAAUGGGUAAAGAAGCACCGGCUAACUACGUG
rnacentral:rRNA from 1 species